rnacentral:rRNA from 1 species
UACGUAGGGGGCUAGCGUUGUCCGGAAUCAUUGGGCGUAAAGGGCGCGUAGGCGGCCUACUAAGUCAGACGUGAAAUCCCCCGGCUUAACCUGGGAACUGCGUCUGAUACUGGAAGGCUUGAGGAUGGGAGAGGGAUGUAGAAUUCCAGGUGUAGCGGUGAAAUGCGUAGAUAUCUGGAGGAAUACCGGUGGCGAAGGCGGCAUCCUGGACCAUUACUGACGCUGAGGCGCGAAAGCUAGGGGAGCAAACGGG